rnacentral:piRNA from 1 species
ACACUGAAUAUGCACUAUUAGAAACACAAU